rnacentral:misc_RNA from 1 species
UUGAAUUUUAAUGAAGAGUUUGGUUGUAGCUGGCCCAUUCAUUUGGGCAUGUGCACACCUUCCUCUUUCACCCCACACACACCUGUGAACCUGUGAGACAGAGAUGGGGAAUUUACUUGCUGCUUUUUUGGAAUACAAAGGCAAUAGGUUAUUGGACCCCCCCUCUGUCUACUCAAUUAAUAUAAACUCAAUUUAUUUUAAAAACGAAUGUAAUGGAUGUAACACAUCUCAUAC